GAUCUCAUGGCCAUACUUCUGUGAAGUUCAUAGAUUCCUGGGGGCUCUGCCUGUGAAUGAUUAAAGCCUGGUGGAAAACUGUGUGGCCUCCUUUGACGCAGCGGAGGUGGGCGACACCCUAAAGGUGCUCUGUGAGGAUGCCGUUGCCAUGGACUCUGAAGACAGUCCAAGCCUGGUCCAGCUCGACUUGCUGAGCACGUGUGCAGGGUCCUCCAGCGUCGGGGGCAUGAAGGCCAAGAGCAAGAGAAGCCCCAAAAAUACAGGUUCUUGAGGUCAAUCGCCGCGAGAUGGAGGAUGACUUCUCUGGCCUUGGCGGCGGAUUCUCGGGCGCGAUGGAAACGUCCCGCCCGGUGGGUGGCCCGAUGAAUUCUUGGGACCCGGCACAAGGGGCAAAGAAGGCGCCUCUCCAAAGCUAUUGCCGAAACAGCAUCUUGAAAGCUCCCAGACCUCAACCGUCCGUUUGUACUACAAACCGAUGCUCACGGCAUCCACGAGUCGCUCCUGGCCGAGCUCCAGUACAAGGCCACCGCCGCCGCCUGAAGCAGCUCUCAAGCCGUCCUGUGCCUGGCAAGCUCCCGGG
rnacentral:misc_RNA from 1 species